UGGGGUUCCACAGGGCUCCAUCCUUAUCCCUGUGCUUUUCAACAUCUUCAUAAAUGACUUGGAGGCAGGACUGGAAGAGAUACUGGGCCAGUUCACAGAAGAUACAAAACUGGGAGCAGCUACUUACUGCCUCCAGGGCAGGGAGACAAAUUGAGACUUUGACAAAUGAAAGGCUGGGCCACCACCAACCACAUGAAGUUCAACGAGGGAAAGUGCUGGAUUCUGCACCUGGGAUGGGCAAUCCUGGAUAUGCAGACAAACUGGGGAAUGAGAUGCUAGAAAGUAGUGCCAGGGAAGGGGACCUGGGAGUCCUGGUCAAUGGCAAGUUGAAACGUGAGCCAGCAGUGCCCUGGCAGCCAGGAGAGCCAACCCUGUCCUGGGGGCAUCAGGCACAGCAUCACCAGAUGGUCAAGGGAGGGGAUUGUCCUGUUCUGCUCGGCACUGGGGUGGCCUCACCUCCAGUGCUGGGGACAGUUUUGGGCACCACAAUAUAUUUUCUUUAUCCAACUGUAUACCUGGAGUUUAAUAUCCUUUUUUUAAUGAGUUACAUGUUCAUUUCUCAUAGCCAGCCACAGCCACAGGAGAGUUCAAUCCCCGAACAAUUCCAGCUCUUCCUCUGGCUAGAAGAAUUCUGAAGCUGCUUGAUUCCUGUGGCUGUUUAACACUGAUACUGCUCAAUUCCUACACAGGAUCCAGACAGAUGCAACCCAUCCUAUCCUUGCUGCUGGGAUCGGAACUCAAAUAGCUCUGAAAAAUGAAGCUGGUUGCCCAUCCCCAUUUUUAGGCAUCUGUUACAAAGAUAGAAGGUCUUGCACCGCUUUAGUUCUUGUGCAGACACUCUAGAAAGGAAAACUUUGGACUCUAUUUAGGCUAAAUAACACUGGACUUACAGAUUAUGAAUGCAAACAUUAUAAGAGAAAACAACAGCUGUGUCUUUUCCAUGAAGUACAGAGGGAAUUUAUAAGGUAUGUAAUUAAUGAAAUCAAUCCUCUGGUAGCAAUAGAACAAGCGUUUAAAAUAGGAUUUCAUGUAUGAAUGCUAUUGACUCGCUGUCUCCACCUCUGUAAGAACAUCUCUGGUAAGAACAGCAGUUAUUUUAAUAUAAAGAGAAAAGAGAAAAAAAAAACCUGUUUAGAAGUGGAGAAACAUCUGGUCUGAUUCCUCUGUCACUGGUACAUGCAAUCCUACAAUGCAAUGCUGCUGACUGAAUGAUUUUCCUUCUGUGCUAGAACAAAAAACUGAGGAAAAUAUGACCCAAUUAACCCAUCAUUUCUCUUUGUUGGCUCUCCCCUUUGGACCAUUUAUAAAUAAAUUCUUACAUACUUGAUGUACUCUUUAUAACCUUUACGGAUUGAAGAAGCGUGAAGCCUAGGAAAAGAAGGGAAAAGCAAAGUUGGUUUUAGUAGCCUUGAAUGAGUUUUUUCUCUGGUCAUUGAAACAAUUUCUACAUCAUUGGUGUAACAGUUUUCAAGUGUUUCUUUUCAAACAGGUGUUAAGUUUAAUAUGCUGGAAAAAUGAUGUCAUGUCAACUUAAGCAGGACUAGUGGGUUUAAGAUUUUGGGAAUAUGUCUGUUGUUUGGGACACUUUAGAGCUUACCUUGUUAUUGCUUGUUAAAACUGGAGCUGAUGUAAAUUCUGGAAAUAAUUACAAACCUGACAAAACAAAUUAGAUCUCUGAAAUUAUUCCAAAAUGAAAGAUAAAGGGAAAGAUCCUAUUUAUAAAGACAGUAGAAAGAAGCUUCUUAUCAUAAACAGCAACUGUGUGUGGAUAGCCUUUCCAAUUGCAUUCAGUGUUGUCAGUAAAUUUGUUGCUCUCUGUACCUAUUCUCUUACACACUGGUAUCUGAAUAUCUGUAGGAGGCAUGGGGAGGACCCUGAAGUUCCCCACUGUUUCCUCCAAACCUGUCAAACCUACUCAUCUGAGGAACUUAGCAGAGGGCUUAAACCUUUCAUAUCUCAUUACCUGAUUUGUGAUUUUUCUGCCACUAAUCCAGCAUAAAUUUUCCUAAAUUUCAGAAAAUUGGAUUGCUUAAUUAUUUUGGUUAGUAACUAGUUGUGACAAAGGUGAAAAUUCUCCUAUUAAUGCUGGUUCAUAGCCAGGACUACCAGAAUAUCCCAGAUUUUGUUGUGAAUGCAAACAAAUGUUGCAUACUGGUUUUACCUAGUCUAAGAUUUUUGUUAUCUUUGGAAAAUUCUCCCUCUCCAGACCACUAUCUCUAAAGUCAGAUAUUUGGGUAGAAUAUUUUAUUUACAUGUGAUGUGCUGGUGACAUAAAGUGUUAGUUAACAAUAUGUCUCAUGUUGAUAAACACUGCAGCUGCCUGGCAAGGUCAGAGGCAAGUAGAGGGGCAUUGUCACAGAACAGCUGAGGUUGGCAGGAAUGUCCAGAUGCCCUGUCCCACCCCUCUGGUUAAGCAGGGCCAUCUAGAGCUGGUUGCUCAGGUUCACAUCUGAAUAACUUGAAUAUCUUGAAGCGCCAUACCCACCCCAAGCCACUUGUGCCACUACUUGGUCACCUUCACAGGGAAAGAGUAUUCCUUGAUCUUCAAAAUGAACCUUCUACAUUUCAGUUUGUAUCCACUGUGCUCCUCAAAAUUGUUCAGUGUGGAGCUUUACGACUUCUCUAAAUUAUUUCUAAGGUUUCUUUUAUGCAGAUUGUUCUUUAUUCCUAAACCCAGAGUUAGGUGAGUAAAAGAUGUCAGGAAGGGGAAUUCUGGGGAAAAAAAAUCAGAGGUACCUUUAAUUUUUCUUCUUUAACGCUUCCAUAGAUUUUUCUCAGCCUGACAGAGAUGAAUCCCACAAAUAUGUGUAUUUGUGGAGGGUUGUACCACAAGUGCAGUAUCUCAUAUGAAAACUGUUUCCAGGUAGUUUGCCUCAUACCUAAACAAUCAAACAAGUGUGCUAUAGAUUUGAUUUGCAUAACAUGAAUAUUUCUGUUUAGAAUGUACUGGAUGCACUGCUCUCUUGUUCACUAUCUUUGCAUCUCACAUGUUCAGAAUUUUGCAGAAAAUGAUACAGAAGUCUUAGGGAGGAGCGCCUGCCAUAGGUGGCAGGUAUGCAUCCAGAAAUGGGACAGCAGCUAUGAAUCACAAGCUGCUGUGAGGCCACUCUCUGCAUCAGCAAGUGAGGCUGCUGACAGUAUGGUAAAAUAUACCUCAUCCUUAAGAGACCUGAAAGUCUACAAGCAACAAGGAGACCCAGAAACACCAAGGAUAAAAUAUAUUUGGCAGCUACUAUCUGUCUUUUUUUACAAAAUGGAGCAGCAAACUUCAUUGUUACAGCUGAUGUUUCAUGGGCCACCUCUGAGUUUUGGUGCUGCCUACUUUGGAUAAUCAUCCUUGAUUUCUAAUGAUAACCAAAAUAUUCCUUGUAGUAGAGAACAGAGCAGGGCAAGCUAAUUUUGAUGCUACAUAUAUCAGCAUCAAAAGAGUGUUUCUGUUAAUAAAAUCAGAAUGGUAGUUUCACAAGAAGUGUAGUGAAUUUGUACAAAUUACUUAGUAUGCUUUUGUUAAUCGAUCCUCUCACUUUACAAAUAAAACUAAUAAAAGAGAUCAUGGAAAAAAGUAAAACCCCAAAUCGUCAGUUAGUUCUAUCAAUAAGUAAAAAGAUUACCCUUUUGCAUGUAAUGUAUAACCUGACAUAGUCAAACCAGAAGUAAUUCCUCUUGUGUCCAGAUAUUCAUAUAAAACUGAUAGGAUUUGCUAAAAUUAUUGGGCUUACAUUCCUUUCUCACAUGCAUCACAAUAAUGCAGAAAAAAACCUCAGCCUGGAAAACUAGUUAAUAAAAACUGUGUUUAUGCAGAUAUAUAUGUAUUUUGAGAUUCUACCACAUGUGCACAAGUUUCAGAUAGGACUGUGACCCUUCAGGAAGCCUGGGUACCUUGUUUCAUUUUCAAAUCACUUCCAUUAACAUUCCUCCACACAGCAGAUGCUCAAAGGCAGAUUUUCAAGAUGAGCAAGUAAAGCUUUGCUGUAACUCAUGAUACAGUUCUCUGACCCUGGAAUGCACUGCAGCACAAUGUGAUGUGUCUUCAUCCUGAAGGUGCGAAGAACUCCUUAAUCAAUCAGACUUCAGUACACAGAAACAUGAGAAACUGCAACCUAUUCGGUUUGGUUAGACAAUUUGUCACAUAUCUAAAUACCUUUCACAGUCUUUAUGACAGAAGUGGCAGCAUCACCUCAAGCAUCAGCUGAACAUGGAAUUCAAGUGCAUUCUUGAAGGACCAGUGCAUGUUCAGAAAAAAUAGAGAAUGAUUAUGAACAUUCAGAUGUUUGCUUUUUAAUUUGCAGUGGUUGUUUAUAUGCACAUCAGGGAGCUAGAAAUUGUAAGGUAUGGGCGUUCAGAAUGAUUUUUUUUUUUCAAAGUAGGCUGUGAACUUGAGGUCUCAGUAUUAAUGUUUUAUUCCAUUAAAAGCAUUAAUAACUUAGAAAUCUAGGUGCAAUUAUGCAUUGAAUUUGUAGGAAAUAGUAGCUUAUGAAAAACUAAUAACCUCUGCAAUAUUGUAAUAAUUUGAAUCAAUAUUACUUUAUUUUCCAAGGAGUUGCAUAUUUUGUAAAGCAAAAAAAUUUAUGGUCUUAAGAGACUAUCUGGGGGAGGAGGUAAGUAGAAAUUAUUUUUGCACUGAAUGCAGACAAGAUACAAAGAAAGAAAAAAAAUUUGUGUCAUAUGGGAAUUUCUUUAACUAACCAUGUAAUGCUUCUCUUAGAAACAUUUGUAGUCUCAAAAGGCCUUGCUUGUGAAAAGAUAUAUUCCAAAAUAAUACUAUUUUUGAAACACCAAAAAAGACUAAAUACUUCACUCAGCUCUAUUAAGGAAAAAAAUAAACUGAAAAUUUGGCAAUAUUCCCAUAGGCAAUGUCUUAUGCUUUCUUUAUUGUUUUUUUUUUGGGGGGGUCCUUGGGGGACCCUUGGGGGAGUCCAGCUGGCAGUGUCCUCUCCUCACAGUGACCACCCUGCAGCUGCCACUGCCAGCACCUUGCCAGGCAUAGUGCUAAUAGAAACCCAGAAUAACUGUCUGGCAAAAAAAGACUGCAUGGAUAUUGGUUCUAUUUUCUUUAGUUUGUUGCUCUUCUUCCUGUCUGCUACUAUCUUCUAAUUUUUAAGUGAAAUAUUGUGGCAGUUAAAUUUUAGGAACAUUUGGCUUUCCUUUUUGUUUGCUGGGGGAAGGCUGUGCUUUUUAAAUUUUUUUAAUCUCCCUCUCCCCUUUUACUUUGUUUUGGCUACACUAACAGAGAGGGUUCCUGAACUCUAAACAGCAUCUUCAAACACUUGUGUUCAUGUAGGUCUAUAGAAAUUCCAAGUAAACACUCAAAAUCAGAAUUGAGCUUCUGUACUGAGGGGACUUCAGUGAUACUCACAGCUCAGAUAUGAGCAAGGUGAUCUCCUGAAGUGGCUUUGUUCAUGUAUCAGUGAAUCAGGCAGAGGUUUACUCAUUCCAUUUUUCAACCACAGUAAAUUACGCAUCUUGAAGUUCAUCUUAGAACAGUAUGUAGUUCUGUCGUUCAGUAUGAUGUAAAUAACUGUUCAGUAUGAUGUAAAUAACUCUGUUCUCCCCCAUGAUUUCUUGUGAAACUC